rnacentral:lncRNA from 1 species
UUUUUAAUUUGGCAAGAACAUAAUAAGCUCUCUCUUCUCUCUUUCUCCUUUAUAUACGUGUACCACAAAUUCCUCUUCAACCAUAAAUCUCUCUGACUACUUCAUUUUCUCUCCUCAACAGUAAUAAACAAAGUUUCUUAUUGGAUUCAAGCCAAGAUCAACGUAUCAAGAUGUUCAUCUUCCAUGUGUCGAGGUUUCAUAUAAACAUGUAUAUAUUAGUUUGUCGUUAUGCCUGGCUCCCUGUAUGCCACGAGUGGAUACCGAUUUUGGUUUAAAAAUCGGCUGCCGGUGGCGUACAAGGAGCCAAGCAUGACCAGAAGCAUAUGAUAACUCAUUUGCAUCAACAACUAUAUAUGGUUUGUGUUAUAGUAGAUGAUGUCUUAUUCAAUAUUCAUCUUUGGUGUUUAUAACUUUGUGUUUUUGAUCAGUAAACAGAAAUAAAACCAUAGUUUUGUGAUUGUCUGUUUGAUAUGUACUACGAUACUUUUGUUUGGAUUCGGUUUUAGUCAUAUGAAUAAUCGUUAGUUUUUUUAAAAAAUGGUUUCGUUUUCUCCCGGUUUGGUCAAGUAACUUGUUUCAAGUUUCAUAUGUAUAGAAUUUGAGUAGGGCUACAAUAAUCUAAAUUGAUUCGUUUAAAGUUACAGUGAUUUGGUUUGUCCAAAUAUAUAUAUAUAUACUAGGAUUUACCCCGUGGUACACCACGGAUCCAUAAUUUAAUAUAUUUCUUUGCUCGAUCAUUUUCGUAGUUGAUUUCUAUAAUUUAGUUUUGUAUAUGUUUAUUUCAUUUAAAUUUAAUAUAAUUUUAUAAAUUCGUAUUAUAAGUAGAUUCAUAGAUGUAUGUGGUAAACCCGCGGUACAUCGCAAGACGAUUUUGUUGUAAAUAAAAAAUUAUAUUUUACCUUAACCCAUAAAAGAUUUUAAAUAUAGACAAUCCGCAGAAAAAUAUAAUCAUAUUUAUGUAAACUAAAACCCGUUCAAUCAUAUUUAUCUACAAUAUUAUUAUAUUUUAAAUAUUUGUAGAGUUAAAAUAUUAAUAAUACUUUUAAUUUUUGUAGAGUUUAAAUAUUUUCAUUAUUUUAAUAUUUUCUAAAACUUAAAUAAAAUAUCAGAAUUUUCAGCUUUUUAAAGUUUUAAUAUUUAUCACAUUUUCAACUUGUUAAAAAAUUAAAAUUUAUAAUAUUCUGAAACUUUUUCAAAUUUUUAAUUUCCUUAAAUAAAGAACCGGAUUAAGCUAAUAAAUUUUUUAAUUUGGAUACUUUAGAAAUCAAAAUUCAUGCUCAUUUGUAGUUGUAAACAUAUUAGUCUUAUUUAUAAAGAUUCUGAACUAUUAUAUAAAAUGUUCUAUCUAAUGUAGACGUUGUACAUAUAUUUUUUCCUUUAUUGAUUGAGUUAACUACGUCCGUUUUCAAAAAUUUAAAUUGCAAAAUGUGUGGAAAAAAAUUUGUAUUUUUAUUAUAAAUAUAUUUUAUGUAAUAAUAUAAAUUUUUUAAAAAAGAUUAUAUAAAUAUAUUGGAGAGAGAUUUGGUUUAUUAGAGAGGGAUUUUAGGAAAUUUUUUGAUGUAAUAAAUAUUUGGUUUCCAAUUUUGGGAUUUGCUUGUGAUUUAAUUACAAAAUUUACUUUAAGUUUCUUUAUUUAUUCAAAUGACAAGAGUUUGAUUAUGCAAAUAAUACAAAAUAAAAGGUUAUAAGCCAAAAUAGAUUUUAGUACAAAAUGUACUUCAAAAAUGUUAAGAUAGAUACUCGAGUCAUUUCGUUUGUUUUUAUUUUAGUCUUGGUGUAAUCAUUUCGUCUAUGUUAUGUAGCUUUACUGUAAAGUUCUUCUAUGUUUGAAUUUUUGUCUACUUUUUUUUUAUAUGAAUAUUUUGGGAUGCACCGAACUUGAAUCAUUUUAUUUGAAUUAUCAUUGGCGGACAAAGUUGAAGUCUUAGGAGAAGAAACAUGUUUGAGAGUGUUCUUUUGUUUUCGGUGGCAAACAGUAAACGUAACAAUCAAUCAGAAUAAUUCUGAAGAAAAAACUCAGAAUUUAGGCGUUAAUUAAGUCUUUAAAAGUUGAAUCAAUCACGGAACACUAUAAAUUGACGGUGAACCAUUUAACAUGGUUAUUUUAAAACCACUUCCAUAUAUAAAAUUAACUAGUGUUUAAUAAAAAUAAGUUAAAGGGGGAAAUUGGGAUUUAUACAAGGGAAAUAUUUAGUAUAUAGUUUUAUGUUAUUUCUUUCUAAGUUGUGUAUUAACCAAAAUUUUAUUUGUUACGAUAAGAAUGCCUUGUUUUUCAAACAUUUACCAUAUUUAAGUAGUAGGAAUUGACUUUGCUAAACAGGUAGAUAUGUAAACAUUUUACUUGUAAUGUGCGACUCGAUAUCUAAUUUUUUCGGAUUUUUCAGAUAGUCAGAGGCUCUUACAUGUAUGGAUUGUGACCUACCCGCGAUUGCAAGUACAAGUAGAAACAAAAAACAAUAACGGAUAUUUAGAAAAUUUUGAAUUCAAGAAUUUGUACCCAAUCUCAAAAUAUACAUUCUAUUUAGUUUUAUAUAGAUUUUUUUCUUUUUCAUGAUAUUAUUCAUUAAUCCUUGCAAAUUUGAGUGUAAUUAAAGCUAAUUUUCUAUAUUUCAUGUUUUUUUUUUAACAAUUCUAUAUUUCAUGUUUAUAACUUAUAAAACAGUUGUCCGGUCCGUGCCACGUCUACAAGGCCAAAAGAUCUUUGCGUUCGUCAAGCUGCUCCUAACUCCUAAGCCUUAAGGGUAAGUAAACCAAGGCCUUCAAACAACAGAGACUACGAGAGGGUCAUCACAUUAAUGUAAAAACCACUUUUCUCUGAAGCUGUUGUAUCGUUCACACACAAGUUGUAAUAGUAAUCUUUUCACUUAAUUCAACUCUAAUGAUAAACUCAUAAAAAAAA